GCACAGUUGAGGAGUCUCACAAUAGGACGAAACGGUCGUGCAGUAC
rfam:Schistosoma haematobium scaffold462_8, whole genome shotgun sequence.